GCUGGUGGCUGAUGGGGAAGGAGCGGCGCGGCUCCGCGGUGGGGCUGGGGCGCGCCGUGCUCCCCCCCUCACCGCUCUCCCCCCGCCGCUCUGCCGGAUCCUGGGGGAGGCGCCGAGGGGCGGGGAGCGGCGCUUACAGCCGGAGCCGCCCGGGGAAGGGGCGCGCAGCCAGGAGGGAGGGAAAGGGUAUUUAUCUUACCCGUGUCGUUUGGAGGAGCUGCAGUGGGUGCAGCUCAGUGUGAAUUCUGUGGGACUGAGUGAGCUGGCAGAGAUGGAGCUGGAUCCAGUGUAAGGCGUGAACAAAGGUGAUCCCUAGGUUGAAGUUUCACCAAGGAGGUCUCGGUCUGGAAUGUGGUUUAAUGGCACAGGUGAAGAUCUUGGAAAAGUGGAGCAUCUAUAGGUGUAUGGUAACCAUUGAGUCCUGGCCUGAAGCACCGAUUGAGCAGCUUGGGAAAGGACUGGUCAGCCCUGGAGCACAGGUGAAGGCAAUUCAACUGUGAGACAGGAAGGGGUGGAGCCUGGCUGCACCUCUCUUAGGCCUCAUUUAAGGACUGACUGCCACUGGGCCAGGAUCUCUGGUUGGGGAUCCCUCCCUUACAGAGUCUGUCUUGUGAGCCUAGAUCCUCAGAGAUGGAUGUCACUGAUUGGAAAUGCUGUGUGCUGACAAACCUAUGGAAUCCUGUCUUGUCAGAGUCCCUAUGGAGCUGGGCAGCAGUGCUGGGCUGAGCUCAGCUCACCAUGGUGGGAAGUGGUCGUGGGGAGCCGUGGUCAGUGUCCUGCUGGAAGAUGAAGAUACCCUGUUCUUAUCUGUACCUUCUGGUUUUUUACGUUUGAGUACAGAGAAGUUGAUGCUUGUUCUUUCUGCAGUGGAAGUGGCAGCAGUGAUAAGUUGGAGGUAAUUCUCAAUGAGGAUCUGAGUCUGGCUGGUCAAUGUGUCAGUGCCAAACUAUCUGAUAGGCAUGAGGAAACUGCGUGGCUUUGGGCUGGGAACACAACUGGAAAAGAUGCUGAGGCUGUCCAGAAGUCCAUGGUGGGAUGUAAGGUAGCGUAGGUAGGAGGAGGAAAUUUUAUCCUUUUUCAACCUCCACUUUUGGGAACCUGAGCAAAAGUGAAGCACCUGUGUACGUGAUAGCAUCCAUUACCAAGGUAACGCUGGUUGUUCUUCUCUGGACUUGUUCCUUGCUAGCAAGAAUAAUUAGAUACUUACUCAUUUUUCUUAACUAUCUCAUCCUGGGUCUCAUUCACAAUGUGAGGGAUCCCAGUUUAAUCGCUGAAUCUUGAAUUUUAGAGACAACAUAAACAAAUGCAACUGCAUCAGAUGCUUUGAAGAAUCUGCAGGCUGAAAUGUGUCCUUCCCAUCCACACAACUCAGUGCUGAGGCAGCUGAGGAGCAUGCUCUGCCAAUACCAGGCCAAGCAAAACCUCACCAGGAUUCUCAGACUGAUAAAACCAAUACUGGAGGAAAUGGAGAAAAAUCUGAAUAGAAUUUCUUAUUAUUAACUGCUAUCAGUACUGAGUGCAGUAUUACUGUUCUAGGCCUUCGAAAAUGACAUGUUAUUUUCCUUUCCUUUUAAAUAUGACAAAAGCAAGCCUCAGACUAAGUAGCAGAUAUUAAAUAUUGAAUAUUCCAAAAGGAUUUUUCAUCUGUUAAACAUAAAGACUUCUCUCCAAAAAGAAGCAGGCUGGUUAGGCCAUAUAUGUUUGCUUUUCUCCAUGCAGGAUGCGUUUUCCCACUUCAGCUUAAGCUGGAUAAACAGUUGAGUAAAUGGAAGCACUUUCUCUUAACAGAAAUGCUAUUACUAAAAACAGUCAGUGAUUUAAUCAAUUGAGUUUCACAGUAUUCACAGUUCACCCUCUUGUGUGCUAGAGUUCAGCACUGUACAAACAGGAUCAGAAAUUCUUUGCUUACCUAGCAGCAAACUGGCUGCUUAGUCAGACACACUGCUGAGCGUUCAGUGCUGGAAUAAAGUUUUGAUAAUCGA